CUUAGCUCAGCUGGUAGAGCAACUGACUUGUAAUCAGUAGGUCAUUGGUUCGAUCCCGAU
rnacentral:tRNA from 2 species